rnacentral:rRNA from 1 species
AGUACGUGAAACCGUCUAGCGGUAAAGAGAGGGGAUCUCGAAGUUCUGAGGGGGACUCAACCUUGGUGGUGCUUGGCCUGGGCGUAUUUGAUCAGCAAUGACUUUGCGUUUAGUCCCGAGUACCUCCCGGACGCACUUUCUCCUCAGUUGACGGCAGGAACUGUUAGGAGCGAACUGAAGGCCCAGGGUGAAGUUGUUGGUUAUGCUGGCAGCCCUUGGUGUCCUAGCUUCGCAUCUGACAGGUAUGUAAGCAAACUCGUAUAGCGAGCAAUUCCCUAUUGCGGUUUGCAUCUCUCUGCCGAGUAGGUCGGUGUCUCCUCUCACCCGUCUUGAAACACGGAC